UACGUAGGGGGCAAGCGUUGUCCGGAUUUAUUGGGCGUAAAGAGCGUGUAGGCGGCCAUACAGGUCCGUUGUGAAAACUGGAGGCUUAACCUCCAGACGUCGAUGGAAACCGUAUGGCUAGAGUCCGGAAGAGGAGAGUGGAAUUCCUGGUGUAGCGGUGAAAUGCGCAGAUAUCAGGAGGAACACCGGUGGCGAAGGCGGGUCUCUGGGCCGUAACUGACGCUGAGGAGCGAAAGCAUGGGGAGCGAACAGG
rnacentral:rRNA from 1 species